AUACGGAGGAUCCGAGCGUUAUCCGGAUUUAUUGGGUUUAAAGGGUGCGUAGGCGGGAGAUUAAGUCGGUGGUGAAAUUUUGCAGCUCAACUGUAAAAGUGCCAUUGAUACUGGUUUCCUUGAGUGUGGAUGAUGUAGGCGGAACUUGUGGUGUAGCGGUGAAAUGCAUAGAUAUCACGAGGAACUCCGAUUGUGCAGGCAGCUUACUAAACUACUACUGACGCUCAGGCACGAAGGCGUGGGGAUCAAACAGGAUUAGAUACCCUGGUAGUCCACGCAGUAAACGAUGAUUACUAGCUGUUUGCGAUACAAUGUAAGCGGCUGAGCGAAAGCGUUAAGUAAUCCACCUGGGGAGUACGUUCGCAAGAAUGAAACUCAAAGGAAUUGACGGGG
rnacentral:rRNA from 1 species